ensembl:snRNA U6 U6 spliceosomal RNA
UGGCUCAAUUUGUGACCACAUAUAAUAAAAAAUGGAAUAAUGCAGAGAAGAUUACCUGGCCCCUUUGCAAGGGUGACACACAAAAUUGCACAGCAUUCCACAUUUUA